rnacentral:misc_RNA from 1 species
AGGAAGCAACGCAACCACAUUUAUAAUGGAACAACUAUAAAACGGACCGCUGCUGCUUCCAUCUCUCCGCCGCCGCCUCCGCUUCCGCUUCCGAAUCAACCAUGGAUGACACCUCCAAUCCCAAAGCCACCAAGCGCCGCCACAAACACACCAGCGACGACGACGACUAUGAAGGAGACUCUGAGGUCUGGGCAACUUUCAACUCCACUUUCCGGCAAGUUCAGUCGGUUCUCGAUAGGAACAGAAAUUUGAUCCAA